GCAGCUUGUUUCGUCUCCCGUGCCAGCCAUUUCCAAACCUAUCUCCGUUGUGUCACAAGCUACAAGUCUUCCACGGAGUGCCUCAAGCUCUAAUGUCGACUCCAACGUGACAAAAUCUUCUGGUCCAUUGGUUGUUCCUCCCACAAGUUUGCCUCCUCCGGCCCAGCCUGAGACACUAGCCACUACCACUGCUGCAGCUAUUAUGCCG
rnacentral:misc_RNA from 1 species